rnacentral:rRNA from 1 species
GACGAACGCUGGCGGCGUGCCUAACACAUGCAAGUCGAGCGGGGUUGAGGCGAGAGGUAACUCGAACUUCUACCUAGCGGCGGACGGGUGAGUAACACGUAGGAAUCUACCCUUAAGACGGGGACAACCCAGGGAAACUUGGGCUAAUACCGGAUGAGAGUGCGAGAGAUUGCAUUUAAAAGGAUGGCGAAAGUUGUCGCUUAGGGAUGAGCCUGCGGUCUAUUAGUUAGUUGGUGAGGUAAGAGCUCACCAAGGCGAUGAUAGAUAGGCGGCCUUAACGGGUGGUCGCCCACACUGGGAUUGAGAUACGGCCCAGACUCCUACGGGAGGCAGCAGUCGAGAAUAGUCUACAAUGGCCGGAAGGCUGAUAGUGCGACGCCGCGUGAACGAGGGAGCCCUUCGGGGUGUAAAGUUCUUUUCUAUACGAGCAGUGCUAUAUAUAUGGAUAGUAUAUAUAGAGGGAUAGUAGUAUAGGAAUAAGCAACGGCUAACUCCGUGCCAGC